rnacentral:rRNA from 1 species
AUAUUAUUAAGCGGAGGAAAAGAAACUAACAAGGAUUCCCCUAGUAAUGGCGAAUGAAGAGGGAACAGCUCAAGAUUGAAUCGAUUGUCUCAACGGACUUUCGAGUUGUAAUCUAGAGAAUGUGUGAUCAACCACGUGUACCCGGGCAUAACUCUUUGGAAAAAGGGAUCAUGGAGGGUGACAAUCCCGUCUAUGACUCGGAGUUCGCUGUGUUUGAGCAUACGUUCUAAGAGUCGGAUAGGUUGGGAUUCCUGUCCAAAGCAGGUGGUAAACUUCAUCUAAAGCUAAAUACCGGCCAGAGACCGAUAGCACACAAGUACCGUGAGGGAAAGGUGAAAAGAACUUUGAAAAGAGAGUUAAACAGUAUCUGAAAUUGCUAAGAGGUAACCGGUGGAAUCCAGCCAUAUUCCUUAGGCUAUACUUACUACUUUGCUGGCGUGAGACCUCAGUGCCAUUUCCUUCGCCGGUAUGGCAUGAACGUCUUGCGUUCAGUGGGUGGGUCCUGUAGCUUGAGGAGCGUCAGAAUCAUUUCUCUUCGCCGGAGAAGAUCCAGGGGAAGGUACGAAGCGGGGGGUUUCUUCCGUUUCGACUUAUAGCUUCUGGACCAUACGGUGGAGGGGAUUGA